GACGAACGCUGGCGGCGUGCUUAACACAUGCAAGUCGAACGGAAAGGCCUCUUUCGGGGGGUACUCGAGUGGCGAACGGGUGAGUAACACGUGAGUAACCUGCCCUUGACUUUGGGAUAACUUCGGGAAACUGGGGCUAAUACCGGAUAGGAGCUCCUGCUGCAUGGUGGGGGUUGGAAAGUUUCGGCGGUUGGGGAUGGACUCGCGGCGUAUCAGCUUGUUGGUGGGGUAGUGGCUUACCAAGGCUUUGACGGGUAGCCGGCCUGAGAGGGUGACCGGCCACAUUGGGACUGAGAGACGGCCCAGACUCCUACGGGAGGCAGCAGUGGGGAAUAUUGCACAAUGGGUGGAAGCCUGAUGCAGCAACGCCGUGUGCGGGAUGACGGCCUUCGGGUUGUAAACCGCUUUCGCUCAUGACGAAGCUUUGUGUGACGGUAGUGGGUAAAGAAGCACCGGCUAACUACGUG
rnacentral:rRNA from 1 species